rnacentral:rRNA from 1 species
AAAUUGAAGAGUUUGAUCAUGGCUCAGAUUGAACGCUGGCGGCAGGCCUAACACAUGCAAGUCGAACGGUAACAGGAAGCAGCUUGCUGCUUCGCUGACGAGUGGCGGACGGGUGAGUAAUGUCUGGGAAACUGCCUGAUGGAGGGGGAUAACUACUGGAAACGGUGGCUAAUACCGCAUAACGUCGCAAGACCAAAGAGGGGGACCUUCGGGCCUCUUGCCAUCAGAUGUGCCCAGAUGGGAUUAGCUAGUUGGUGAGGUAACGGCUCACCAAGGCGACGAUCCCUAGCUGGUCUGAGAGGAU